UGGGGAAUUUUGGACAAUGGGCGAAAGCCUGAUCCAGCAAUGCCGCGUGUGUGAAGAAGGCCUUCGGGUUGUAAAGCACUUUUGUCCGGAAAGAAAUCCUUGGCUCUAAUACAGUCGGGGGAUGACGGUACCGGAAGAAUAAGCACCGGCUAACUACGUGCCAGCAGCCGCGGUAAUACGUAGGGUGCAAGCGUUAAUCGGAAUUACUGGGCGUAAAGCGUGCGCAGGCGGUUUGCUAAGACCGAUGUGAAAUCCCCGGGCUCAACCUGGGAACUGCAUUGGUGACUGGCAGGCUAGAGUAUGGCAGAGGGGGGUAGAAUUCCACGUGUAGCAGUGAAAUGCGUAGAGAUGUGGAGGAAUACCGAUGGCGAAGGCAGCCCCCUGGACCAAUACUGACGCUCAUGCACGAAAGCGUGGGGAGCAAACAGGAUUAGAUACCCUGGUAGUCCACGCCCUAAACGAUGUCAACUAGUUGUUGGGGAUUCAUUUCCUUAGUAACGUAGCUAACGCGUGAAGUUGACCGCCUGGGGAGUACGGUCGCAAGAUUAAAACUCAAAGGAAUUGACGGGGUCAUAGCUGUUUUCCU
rnacentral:rRNA from 1 species